GAGGGACGCUUUGGAAACUGCCAAGCUAGAGAGCAUUAGGGGUUGAUGGAACGCACGGUGUAGGGGUGGAAUCCGUUGAUAUCGUGCGGAACACCAAAAGCGAAGGCAUUCAACUGGGAUGACUCUGACGCUGAGGAACGAAAGCCAGGGUAGCGAAUGGGAUUAGAUACCCCAGUAGUCCUGGCUGUAAACUAUGGAUACUAGCUAUUGCAAGUGUCGACCCUUGCAGUGGCGAAGCUAACGCGUUAAGUACCCCGCCUGGGUAGUACAGCCGCAAGGCCGAGACCCAAAGGAAUAGACGGGGGCCUACACAAGCGGUGGAUCAUGUGGCUUAAUUCGAUGACAAGCGAGAAACCUUACCAGGGCUUGACAUCCUAGUGAUGACCAUAAGAGAUUAUGGUUUCCACAAGGACACUAGGACAGGUGGUGCAUGGUUGUCGUCAGCAGGUGCCGUGAGGUGCUCCCUUAAAUGGGGAAACCUGCGAAACCCUUGCGCUAUGUUUUACGUGUCAUAGGGGACUGCCCGCGUACAGCGGGAGGAAGGUGAGGAUGACGUCAAAUCAGCAUGUCCUUUAUGUCCUGGGCCGCACACAUGAUACAAUGGUCGGUACAACGAGUUGCGAAGUCGUAAGGCGGAGCUAAUCUCUAAAAACCGGUCUCAGUCCGGAUUGAGGUCUGCAAUUCGACCUCAUGAAGAUGGAAUCGCUAGUAAUCGCGAAUCAUCACGUCGCGGUGAAUAUGUUCCUGGGCCUUGUACUCACCGCCCGU
rnacentral:rRNA from 1 species